rnacentral:rRNA from 1 species
UCCUCCCUCUGGCGGCGUGCUUAACACAUGCAAGUCGAACGGAAAGGCCCUGCUUGCAGGGUACUCGAGUGGCGAACGGGUGAGUAACACGUGGGUGAUCUGCCCUGCACUUCGGGAUAAGCCUGGGAAACUGGGUCUAAUACCGGAUAGGAGCCAUUUUUAGUGUGAUGGUUGGAAAGUUUUUUCGGUGUAGGAUGAGCUCGCGGCCUAUCAGCUUGUUGGUGGGGUAAUGGCCUACCAAGGCGGCGACGGGUAGCCGGCCUGAGAGGGUGGACGGCCACAUUGGGACUGAGAUACGGCCCAGACUCCUAAGGGAGGCAGCAGUGGGGAAUAUUGCACAAUGGGCGCCAGCCUGAUGCAGCGACGCCGCGUGGGGGAUGACGGCCUUCGGGUUGUAAACUCCGUUCGCUAGGGACGAAGCUUUUUGUGACGGUACCUAGAUAAGAAGCACCGGCUAACUACGUG